rnacentral:rRNA from 1 species
AGAGUUUGAUCCUGGCUCAGAAUCAACGCUGGCGGCGCGCUUAACACAUGCAAGUCGCACGAGAAAGGGGGCAACCCUGAGUACAGUGGCGUACGGGUGAGUAACACGUGGGUGAUCUACCUCUGAGUGGGGAAUAACCCUGGGAAACCGGGGCUAAUACCGCAUAAUCUCGAGAGAGGAAAGCAGCAAUGCGCUGAGAGAGGAGCCCGCGGCCGAUUAGCUAGUUGGUAGGGUAAAGGCCUACCAAGGCAAAGAUCGGUAGCCGGCCUGAGAGGGCACACGGCCACACUGGCACUGAAACACGGGCCAGACUCCUACGGGAGGCAGCAGUGGGGAAUCUUGCACAAUGGGGGAAACCCUGAUGCAGCGACGCCGCGUGAGCGAUGAAGCCCUUCGGGGUGUAAAGCUCUUUCGUCAGGGAAGAUGAUGACGGUACCUGGAGAAGCAGCUGCGGCUAACUACGUGCCAGCAGCCGCGGUAAUACGUAGGCAGCGAGCGUUGUUCGGAGUUACUGGGCGUAAAGGGUGUGUAGGCGGUUCUUUAAGUUUGGUGUGAAAUCUCCCGGCUCAACCGGGAGGGUGCGCCGAAUACUGAGGGACUUGGAGUGCGGGAGAGGAAAGUGGAAUUCCUGGUGUAGCGGUGAAAUGCGUAGAUAUCAGGAGGAACACCGGUGGUGUAGACGGCUUUCUGGACCGUAACUGACGCUGAGACACGAAAGCGUGGGUAGCAACAGGAUUAGAUAACCCUGGUAGUCCACGCCCUAAACGAUGCAUAUUUGGUGUGGGUCAUCCAGUUGAUCCGUGCCGGAGCUACGGCGGUUAAUUAUGCCCGCUUGUGAGUACAGUCGCAAGGCUGAAACUCAAAGGAAUGGACGGG